rnacentral:misc_RNA from 1 species
UAAUAAGUGUUUAUGGCACUUUUAAAUCCAUAUCCACCUUGUGUGCAAUGUCAGGUCCGAUUUUCUUUAUGAAGAUCGGCCAAACAUCAACUUAUUUUUAACUUCUGUCUGAAAACUAUUAUGAAUAAACAAUUCAAAUA